AUUGAACGCUGGCGGCAGGCCUAACACAUGCAAGUCGGACGGUAGCACAGGGGAGCUUGCUCCUCGGGUGACGAGUGGCGGACGGGUGAGUAAUGUCUGGGGAUCUGCCCGAUAGAGGGGGAUAACCACUGGAAACGGUGGCUAAUACCGCAUAACGUCGCAAGACCAAAGAGGGGGACCUUCGGGCCUCUCACUAUCGGAUGAACCCAGAUGGGAUUAGCUAGUAGGCGGGGUAACGGCCCACCUAGGCGACGAUCCCUAGCUGGUCUGAGAGGAUGACCAGCCACACUGGAACUGAGACACGGUCCAGACUCCUACGGGAGGCAGCAGUGGGGAAUAUUGCACAAUGGGCGCAAGCCUGAUGCAGCCAUGCCGCGUGUAUGGAGAAGGCCUUCGGGUUGUAAAGUACUUUCAGCGGGGAGGAAGGCGAUGUGGUUAAUAACCGCGUCGAUUGACGUUACCUGCAGAAGAAGCACCGGCUAACUCCGUGCCAGCCGCCGCGGUAA
rnacentral:rRNA from 1 species